AGCUGAAAGAAAUACAUUAACCACUAAGGGAGACCUCAAGAGAGAGUGCAUAAGAGCAAAAAUGGACAGUUUAUUCUCUCAUCUUGCAAACCAGACCAUAAGCCAAACAACUAAGGUGCCAUCCAAACAUCACUACAACACCACCCUGGUGCUUUAUGGAUGGUUUUGUCAUUAUAUAACAGUGAAAAAUCAUAUAUGGCACACCAGAAGGAAAAAAGACAAUGUUUGAUCCAUAAAGACUUCCUUCUCAAACAGAAGAAAUUCACUAUCCUUAACAGGAUUUGCUACCUGAGAUCAAGCCAGAGAAGGUAACUCCAAGAAGAACACCAUUCACAGAGCAUCCCCCCAAAAAAUCUUGGUAAUAGUCUCUUGCUUUCUGGAAGGAAAAGUUCCUGCAUAUGAUGCAC
rnacentral:lncRNA from 1 species